UGGGCAACCUGCCCCUCUCUCUGGGAUAACCCCCGGGGAAACCCGGAGCUAAUACCGGAUACUCCGGCUGGAUCGCAUGGUCCGGCCGGGAAAGGUCCGCCGGAGAGGGAUGGGCCCGCGGCCUAUCAGCUUGUUGGUGGGGUCAUGGCUCACCAAGGCGACGACGGGUAGCCGGCCUGAGAGGGUGACCGGCCACACUGGGACUGAGACACGGCCCAGACUCCUACGGGAGCA
rnacentral:rRNA from 1 species